GACGAACGCUGGCGGCGUGCUUAACACAUGCAAGUCGAACGAAGAGCGAUGGAAGCUUGCUUCUAUCACUCUUAGUGGCGAACGGGUGAGUAACGCGUAAUCAACCUGCCCUUCAGAGGGGGACAACAGUUGGAAACGACUGCUAAUACCGCAUACGAUCUAAUCUCGGCAUCGAGGAUAGAUGAAAGGUGGCCUCUACAUGUAAGCUAUCACUGAAGGAGGGGAUUGCGUCUGAUUAGCUAGUUGGAGGGGUAACGGCCCACCAAGGCGAUGAUCAGUAGCCGGUCUGAGAGGAUGAACGGCCACAUUGGGACUGAGACACGGCCCAGACUCCUACGGGAGGCAGCAGUGGGGAAUCUUCCGCAAUGGACGAAAGUCUGACGGAGCAACGCCGCGUGAGCGAUGACGGCCUUCGGGUUGUAAAGCUCUGUUAAUCGGGACGAAAGGCCUUCUUGCGAAUAGUGAGAAGGAUUGACGGUACCGGAAUAGAAAGCCACGGCUAACUACGUG
rnacentral:rRNA from 1 species